UGCCCUCUUCUGUCAAAAGAAUGAGAAUGAAAUCGCAACAGGGCUAUUUAUAGCUGAGAAGCGUCACAGAAAACAUGCCCAGGCCCAGCACACAACCGCCCGGUGGCACACUUAUGCUACCCGGCGGUUUGCCCCUAAUCGCGCCACCGCCCGGCGGCAGGGAGCCACUGCCCGUCGGUUUGCCUCUGAUCGUAAAUCCGCCCAGCGUCCAUGCCAGGUGCCUCCUCCUCGCACUGGACCGCCCCGCGGUGCAAUUUUGCCGCCGGGCGGUUCCUAGACUCUUCUUUUCUUCAAUUUUCUUCUUCUGUCUUGAGUCUAAGACCUUCAUCUUCAGUCUCCAUCUUGACUUUCAUCAAAAUAGCUUCAAAACAAUGCAAAACAAGCAUAAUAUCGCUAAAAACAACUUUUGACUCUCGAC
rnacentral:lncRNA from 1 species